GUAGGAGCCCCAAGUGCUUUCGGUCUUCCUAAAAACCACUGUGCGGUGCGCGCGGGUGGAGGGAAGAGAAAUCUGGAAGGAACUCGCGCCGUGGCGGAAGGAGCUCCAAGGGACGGCUGAUAGAGCCACGAGUACUGCGAGAUGACCGCGACAGGCUGGGGGAAGGGGAAUCAGCUGCCAUGUUGCGAGGACACUCAAGCAGCCAUGUGGAGAAGCCCAUAUGAAGAAGAACUGAAGCCUUCCUGUAACUAAUUUGCCAGGAUAUCAGAGAUGCUGUUCUAUGGAGGAAAACAAGCACGGAGCUGCUUCCAGAGAGGCUCACAGCCGCAGCAUGGGCAGCAGGGAACAUCUCCAGGGAGAGCCGUCCUCCCCUCCAGGAGUGCUCCACGGCACUGCCUCUGAUGGAGAUACUCAAGAACUUUGUAGAACGUUGGUAUCAUGA
rnacentral:lncRNA from 1 species